rnacentral:lncRNA from 1 species
UUUAUUUCCAAAUAGACUGUUAGCUUGUAUGUAUAAACAACAUACAUAUCUUGCUAAAUUAUAUGGUACCGAAGGCAAUGUGGAUGUCGUUGCCAUCACUGACCCCUUUGUUAACAUCAAGUACAUUGUCUAUGUGUUCUAGUAUGAUUCCACCAAAUAACAAGUUCAACGGCAUAGCCAAGACUGAGAACCAAAAGGUUGUUAUAAAUGAAAAACCCAUUUCCAUCUUCUAAAAGUGAGAUCCUGACAUGAAAUGGGGUAAUUCUUGUAAUGAAUUUGUUGUGGAAUCUACUGUGUCUUCAUUUUCUUGUAAAAGUCUGACUUCAUAUGAAGGGUGGAGCCAAUAGGGUCAUCAUCUUUGUCCCGUCUGCUGAUGUCCCCAUAUUUAUGAGCAUGAAUGAUGAGAAGUGUGACAACUCCCUCAAGAUUGUCAGCAAUUCCUCCUGCACUACCAAGUGCUUAGCCCUCCUGGCCAAUGUCAUCAAUAACAAUUUUGGCAUCACGGAGAGACUCAAGAUCACAAUCCAUGCCAUCACUGCCACCAAGAAGACUGGGAAGGCCUCUCUGGGAAACUGUGUUGUGACAGCCAUGAGGCUAGCCAGAACUUCAUGCCUGCCUCUACUGAUGCUUCCAAGGCUGUAGGCAAGGUCAUCUCUGAGCUGAAUGGAAAGCUCAGUGGCAUGGCCUUCUGUGUCCCCAUCCCCAGGCUGUGUCUCCAGCUUUCUAUGGACUGUCCAGAGAAAGCUGCCAAAUGUGAUGACUCCAAGAAGGUGAUGAAGCAGACAUUGGAUAUUCUCCUAAAGGGCAUCCUGGGCUACACCGAGGACCUGGUUGUCUCCUAGACUCUAACAGUGACACCUACUCUUCUACCUUCCAUGCUGGGACUGGCAUUGCCCUAACAACCACUUUGACUAGUUCAUUUCCUGGUAUGACAAUGAAUUUGGCUACAGUAGCAAGGUGGCAGACUUUAUGGACCACAUGUCCUCCAAGG